UGACCGUACCGCAAACCGACACAGGUGGGCGAGAUGAGUAUUCUAAGGCGCUUGAGAGAACUCGGGAGAAGGAACUCGGCAAAUUGGUACCGUAACUUCGGGAUAAGGUACGCCCUUGUAGCUUGACUGGCUUGCGCCAGAAGGGUGAAGGGGUUGCAAUAAACUGGUGGCUGCGACUGUUUAAUAAAAACACAGCACUCUGCAAACACGAAAGUGGACGUAUAGGGUGUGACGCCUGCCCGGUGCCGGAAGAUUAAAUGAUGGGGUGCAAGCUCUUGAUUGAAGUCCCGGUAAACGGCGGCCGUAACUAUAACGGUCCUAAGGUAGCGAAAUUCCUUGUCGGGUAAGUUCCGACCUGCACGAAUGGCGUAACGAUGGCCACACUGUCUCCUCCCGAGACUCAGCGAAGUUGAAGUGUUUGUGAUGAUGCAAUCUACCCGCGGCUAGACGGAAAGACCCCAUGAACCUUUACUGUAGCUUUGCAUUGGACUUUGAACCGAUCUGUGUAGGAUAGGUGGGAGGCUAUGAAACCGGAACGCUAGUUUCGGUGGAGCCGUCCUUGAAAUACCACCCUGGUUUGUUUGAGGUUCUAACCUUGGCCCGUGAUCCGGGUCGGGGACAGUGCAUGGUAGGCAGUUUGACUGGGGCGGUCUCCUCCCAAAGCGUAACGGAGGAGUACGAAGGUACGCUAGGUACGGUCGGAAAUCGUGCUGAUAGUGCAAUGGCAUAAGCGUGCUUAACUGCGAGACCGACAAGUCGAGCAGGUGCGAAAGCAGGUCAUAGUGAUCCGGUGGUUCUGUAUGGAAGGGCCAUCGCUCAACGGAUAAAAGGUACUCUGGGGAUAACAGGCUGAUACCGCCCAAGAGUUCAUAUCGACGGCGGUGUUUGGCACCUCGAUGUCGGCUCAUCUCAUCCUGGGGCUGUAGCCGGUCCCAAGGGUAUGGCUGUUCGCCAUUUAAAGAGGUACGUGAGCUGGGUUUAAAACGUCGUGAGACAGUUUGGUCCCUAUCUGCCGUGGGCGUUGGAUAUUUGAAGGGGGCUGCUCCUAGUACGAGAGGACCGGAGUGGACGAACCUCUGGUGUACCGGUUGUCACGCCAGUGGCAUCGCCGGGUAGCUAUGUUCGGAAGAGAUAACCGCUGAAAGCAUCUAAGCGGGAAACUCGCCUUAAGAUGAGAUAUCCCUGGGGACUAGAUCCCCUUGAAGGGUCGUUCGAGACCAGGACGUUGAUAGGUCAGGUGUGUAAGCGCAGUAAUGCGUUCAGCUAACUGAUACUAAUUGCCCGUAAGGCUUGAUCC
rnacentral:rRNA from 1 species